GACGGGGGGAGCAAGCGUUGUUCGGAUUUACUGGGCGUAAAGGGCGUCUAGGCGGGCUUUCAAGUCGAGUGUGAAACCCCACGGCUCAACCGUGGAUCUGCACUUGAUACUGUUGGCCUUGAGUACGGAAGAGGAAAGCGGAAUUCCAGGUGUAGCGGUGAAAUGCGUAGAUAUCUGGAAGAACACCGGUGGCGAAGGCGGCUUUCUGGUCCGAUACUGACGCUGAAGCGCGAAAGUGCGGGGAGCAAAC
rnacentral:rRNA from 1 species